rnacentral:rRNA from 1 species
CAGCAGCCGCGGGAACACGUAGGUGGCAAGCGUUGUCCGGAAUUACUGGGCGUAAAGCGUGCGUAGGCGGUGAGUUAAGUCUGCUGUGAAAUCCCCGGGCUCAACCUGGGAAUGGCAGUGGAUACUGGCUCGCUAGAGUGUGUCAGAGGAUGGUGGAAUUCCCGGUGUAGCGGUGAAAUGCGUAGAGAUCGGGAGGAACAUCAGUGGCGAAGGCGGCCAUCUGGGACAACACUGACGCUGAGGCACGAAAGCGUGGGGAGCAAACAGGAUUAGAGACCCCCGUAGUCCCUGUCUCUUAUAC